rnacentral:tRNA from 1 species
AGGUAAUUAGUUUAAACAAAACAUUUGAUUUCGGCUCAAAAACUUAUGGUGGAACCCCAUAAUUAACCU